rnacentral:misc_RNA from 1 species
GUAGUACCUCGACCUUAUAGAAGACCACAGCUAAAUAAUACUGUUUUCAAGCAGUAUUGUGUUCCUGUUGGUGAGUAAGGUGACCAGAGCUCCUGGGGGGAUUGGGGAUUGGGUCGGCAACGCGCUUGCGAUGCUUCUGGUGUUGCAGGCGUCUAUAAGCUACGGUAAUCGCUUACCAUCAGGUGAGCCGUACGCUUGUUUGCCGAUCUAGUUGUAUAAAAAAAAAAAA